CAUUAGAGGAGAGAGAGAGAGAGAGAGAGAGAAGAUAUUCAAAUCGUACUUCGAUUGGAAUAUCUUCCAAAUAGUCUCGCUUUUCCUCCUCUCUCUCUCUCUCUCUCUCUCUCUCUCUCUCUCU
rnacentral:miRNA from 1 species